GUGAGCCGGGGGAGGGCUCCAGCGCUUGGCCACUACUGAAUGGAGUCAGCGCCAACCGAUGGAAGCGCCGAGUCCUGGCUAUGUGGAACAGCUUCCCAGCCAGAACAGUCAAUGACGUACCUAUUUAUACUCUCGCAAAGGAGCUGCUUGAAUACCUGGCUGAGAAAGGAUUGGCCAUUACUAAG